rnacentral:rRNA from 1 species
UACGGAGGAUGCAAGCGUUAUCCGGAAUGAUUGGGCGUAAAGCGUCCGCAGGUGGCUGUGUAAGUCUGCUGUCAAAGAGCGAAGCUCAACUUCGUAAAGGCAGUGGAAACUACACGGCUAGAGUGCGUUCGGGGCAGAGGGAAUUCCUGGUGUAGCGGUGAAAUGCGUAGAGAUCAGGAAGGACACCGGUGGCGAAGGCGCUCUGCUAGGCCGCAACUGACACUGAGGGACGAAAGCUAGGGGAGCGAAUGGG